rnacentral:rRNA from 1 species
UACCAGCUCUCCGAGUGGUAGGGAUGAUUAUUGGGCUUAAAGCGUCCGUAGCCAGCUUAGCAAGUUUCCUGUUAAAUUCAGCGACCUAAUCGUUGAGCCGCGGGAAAUACUACUAGGCUAGGAGGCGGGAGAGGUCAACGGUACUUCCGGGGUAGGGGUGAAAUCCUAUAAUCCCGGGAGGACCACCAGUGGCGAAGGCUGUUGACUAGAACGCGCUCGACGGUGAGGGACAAAAGCUGGGGGAGCGAACCGGAUUAGAUACCCGGGUAGUCCCAGCUGUAAACGAUGCGAGCUAGGUGUUGGGGUGGCUACGUGCCACCUCAGUGCCGCAGGGAAGCCAUUAAGCUCGCCGCCUGGGGAGUACGGCCGCAAGGCUGAAACUUAAAGGAAUUGGCGGGGGAGCACCACAAGGCGUGAAGCUUGCGGUUC